rnacentral:rRNA from 1 species
GCGUGCCUAACACAUGCAAGUCGAACGGAGAUAAGCGCUGAUGAUUUAGCUUGCUAGAGAUUCUUGCUUAUCUUAGUGGCGGACGGGUGAGUAACGCGUGAGCAACCUGCCUUUCAGAGGGGGAUAACGUCUUAGAAAAGGACGCUAAUACCGCAUGAUAUUAUGGAGCCACAUGGCUCUAAUAAUACAAAGGGAGAGCAAUCCGCUAGAAAGAGUGGGCUCGCGUCCGAUUAGGUAGUUGGCGGGAUAACAGGCCCACCAAGCCGACGAUCGGUAGCCGGACUGAGAGGUUGAACGGCCACAGUUGGGACUGAGACACGGCCCAGACUCCGUACGGGGAGGCAGCAGUGGAGGGAUAUUGGUCAAUGGGGGAAACCCUGAACCAGCAACGCCGCGUGAGGGAUGACGGCCUUCGGGUUGUAAACCUCUGUCCUCUGUGAAGAUAAUGACGGUAGCAGAGGAGGAAGCUCCGGCUAACUACGUGCCAGCAGCCGCGGUAA